CCUACGGGAGGCAGCAGUAGGGAAUAUUGCUCAAUGGGGGAAACCCUGAAGCAGCAACGCCGCGUGGGGGAUGAAGGUUUUCGGAUUGUAAACUCCUUUUGUUAGAGAAGAUAAUGACGGUAUCUAACGAAUAAGCACCGGCUAACUCCGGGCCAGCAGCCGCGGUAAUACGGAGGGUGCACGCGUUCCUCGGAAUCACUGGGCGUAAAGAGCGCGUAGGCGGGAUAGCAAGUCAGAUGUGAAAUCCUAUGGCUUAACCAUAGAACUGCAUUUGAAACUGUUAUUCUAGAGUAUGUGAGAGGUAGGUGGAAUUCUUGGUGUAGGGGUAAAAUCCGUAGAGAUCAAGAGGAAUACUCAUUGCGAAGGCGACCUGCUAGAACAUAACUGACGCUGAUGCGCGAAAGCGUGGGUAGCAAACAGGAUUAGAUACCCCUGUAGUC
rnacentral:rRNA from 1 species